rnacentral:lncRNA from 1 species
CCCUGAUUCUGCCUGGAAUGUCCUAGAUCGUGAUCUCCAGCUUUGUGGUAGAUGUCUCUGAAAUUCUGUGACUUGAUCUAGUGGCUCUGGACUAAUCCUCAUAAAUUCUACAAUUCGACCCAGUGGUCCUGGGGUUGUCCCUGGAGAUUUCAUACUUUGAUUCUUUGACUUUGUUAGCCCCAUUGAUACCUCCCUGUGCUGCCGUGCCUCAGAGGUGAGCUCUACAGAUUCUUCAUGUCCUAUAACUUGACUUGUUUGCUUCAGGGGCACCUCUAAAGAUUCCUCCAUUUGUAGCCAUUGCUUACAGGUCAGAUUUACAGAUUCUGGGACUUGAUGUCCUAACCCUGAUAUUAUCCCUGGAGAUCCCACAUGAUGCUGUGGUUUGGGGGUUAAUUGCAAAGUUUUCUCUACCUGCACUCCUGACUUAGAAGUCAACUCCACAGAUUCAGGAACUCGAUGUCCUAACCCAGGUGUCAUCCCUGAAGCAGAAUCUGGGACGUGAUGUAAUGACUUUGGAAUCAAUACCACAGAUUCUUCCCCUUGCAGUCUUUUCUCAGAGAUCACCUCCACACAUUCUAAGUUUUGAGGACAGAGCCUUGGGGAUCUCUCUGCAAAUCCAGUGGCUUGACUUGUUGGCUUUGGGGUCAUUCCAAAGAAUUCAUUUGCUUGUAUCCUUGCCUCAGCGGUCAACCCCAUAGCUUCUGUAAAGUAAUGCUUGAGUUCCGGAGUAAUCCCUUCAUAUUCCACAGUUUGCUGCAGUGGCUUCAUAUAUAACUCCCCCACAUCCUUAACUCGGGGCCGUGACUGAGAGAGCAAUUCCAUAGUUUCUAGGAUUUGGUAGCUUUUCUCUGGAGUUAAUCCUAAGAAUUUUGAGCCUUGAUCCCUUACCAUUGGAGUCAGAUCAACAAAUUUUGGUACCUGAAGAUCUGGCUGCAGCAGCAUCCCUAAGGAUUCCUUAGCUCUACCUGUUAGCUUUGGGGUCAACCCCACAGAUUUCUCUACAGUAUCUAUGCCUUUAUAUGCCAAUCCUUGUGCCAUUUCUGAAGAUUCUGUGGCGUGAUAAAUUGGUAUUGAAAUCAAAUUUGCAGAUUUAGGGAUUUGAUACUUUGGCUGUGGGAUCAUCUCUGCAUAUUUUGCAAACUGAUGCCCUGGUCUAGGGAUUAGUUCAGAGGAUUCCAUGAUUUGAUAAUUUGUUCUUGGAGUUUGCUCCCCAUAUUUCACUCUUUGAGGCAGUGACCCUGGUGCUAAUUCCACAGAUUUUAUAGUUUGCUGCAGAGACACUGAAGAUAAUUUCACAUGUUUUACGCUUUGCAACUUUGGCUCUACAGUAAACUCCAAAGAUUUCAC